GGGGGAUGAAGGGCUUCGGCUCGUAAACCCCUGUCAGUUGCGAACAAGAUUCAUUCAAUAACACGUGGGUGGAUUGAUAGUAGUGACAGAGGAAGGGACGGCUAACUCUGUGCCAGCAGCCGCGGUAAUACAGAGGUCCCGAGCGUUGUUCGGAUUCACUGGGCGUAAAGGGUGCGUAGGUGGCUUUGCAAGUCUGAUGUGAAAUCUCCGGGCCCAACCCGGAAAUGGCAUUAGAAACUGCGGGGCUAGAGGCUUGGAGGGGGAACUGGAAUGCUCGGUGUAGCAGUGAAAUGCGUAGAGAUCGAGCGGAACACCAGUGGCGAAGGCGAGUUCCUGGACAAGUCCUGACACUGAGGCACGUAAGCCAGGGGAGCAAACAGGAUUAGAUACCCUGGUAGUCCUGGCUGUAAACGGUGCACGUUUGCUGUGAGAGGAAUCGACCCCUUUCGUGGCGGAGCUAACGCGAUAAACGUGCCGCCUGGGGAGUACGGCCGCAAGGUUA
rnacentral:rRNA from 1 species